rnacentral:tRNA from 1 species
UCCAGGGUAGCCUAGUGGACAUGGCAUCUGCUCGGUAAGCGGAAGGUCGUGGGUUCGAUUCCCGCCCCUGGAC